GAUGAACGCUGGCGGCGUGCCUAAUACAUGCAAGUCGAGCGAAUGGAUUAAGAGCUUGCUCUUAUGAAGUUAGCGGCGGACGGGUGAGUAACACGUGGGUAACCUGCCCAUAAGACUGGGAUAACUCCGGGAAACCGGGGCUAAUACCGGAUAACAUUUUGAACCGCAUGGUUCGAAAUUGAAAGGCGGCUUCGGCUGUCACUUAUGGAUGGACCCGCGUCGCAUUAGCUAGUUGGUGAGGUAACGGCUCACCAAGGCAACGAUGCGUAGCCGACCUGAGAGGGUGAUCGGCCACACUGGGACUGAGACACGGCCCAGACUCCUACGGGAGGUAGCAGUAGGGAAUCUUCCGCAAUGGACGAAAGUCUGACGGAGCAACGCCGCGUGAGUGAUGAGGGCUUUCGGGUCGUAAAACUCUGUUGUUAGGGAAGAACAAGUGCUAGUUGAAUAAGCUGACACCUUGACGGUACCUAACCAGAAAGCCACGGCUAACUACGUGCCAGCCGCCGCGGUAA
rnacentral:rRNA from 1 species